UGCCUGGAACAUCCUUGUUCUCUGCCAGGA
rnacentral:piRNA from 1 species